UCCACGGACACAUUGUUGUUUUUGUCCUCUGCUGUUGUCUUUUUCCAUCCCUCUUCAGUCUUAACCCAACUCUGACCCGGAGACCUCCAGUCCUGUCCGAGGAAAGGCAUCCCGUGUCUGUGUCGUUGAGUGAAAUAGAUAUAAAAGAAUCAGGAAAUAAUCCCUGUCUGUGCUAAGAUGUAUCCUUCCUUCUCUUACACGCUUUGAUGGUCUACUGUUGACAUUGCGCAGCUCUUCUUAUAUCCUCAAGUCAGAACCCGGAAACAUCGAAGCUCCGCCCACAUUGGAAACUUCCCUGCAACACGUGGCUUUGUUUAUCAACUUAAGGGUUGCAAAACCUCCUGGAGAGAACAGCGGAGGAAGCCAAUGUUUCAGUGUCCAUUGUUGUGGGAGAUGAGGAGGAGAUGCUUUUUAGAUCUGUCAUCAGCAUACAGAUUGUGGUUCAUCUCACCUCUCCAUGCUGCCUGUCAGUCGUCUGUCAGGGCCAAGGCCACCAAGGACGAAGAUGAAGUGGAGAUAGGAGACACUCUGAUGAGCAAAGCGAGGUUCCAGCAUGGGGUCUGCAGUCCUCCACUGGUUGGUCUUCAGGGAGAGGGUGUAGACUGUUUUACUGACUUGGCUGUACUUAGUGUUUGUGGUCAGGCCUCCGAUGACAUACAACACACUGUGGAGGGCAACGUAGGAGGCUUUAUAUAAACGGACAGGCAACUUGGCGAGCCACUGCCACUUCUCGCUCUUCUCAUCAAAGACUAGAGCUUCUCUGGACGUCUGCUCAUUAUUCUUCCUCCCUCCAACCACCACCAACAUGUCAUGGUAGGAAUAACGCCUUGGUGCCACCCAUAGAGGUUUGAAGUCUACUGAUGCACUGAUGCACUUUGUGCUAACAGCAAACAUGAGUCGUCUCACGGAUUCGAUGAGCUCAGUGCAGAGGGUGGACGACUGGAUCAGAGGGUCGUUGGCUAUGAACUGGAAGAGGUAGGUGGGAUGGAUGUAGCGAAGACGGACUUUCUUGAAAAGGUCGCUGAUGGCACCUCGCCUGGAUAAAGGAUCAUGGUGGAUCCAAGCAACAAGCGUCUCAAAGACCUGCUCCUCCUCUGCACAGAGACUAUCAUCCUCCAGGUAUCCCAUGAGCUCGGGUAAAGAGAGCUCACACAGAUCCUCGGACGAUGAAACGUCAGAGAAGCUCUUCAUGGCCAUCUCCUUUGCUUUGUCUCUCAAACUGUUACAGCUCAUGAUCUCAGAGAGUCUUAUCAUGCUUAAACAGUUGUCAGGACUCAGCUGAUCCUGCAGGAAGCUCGAGCAGGCCUCAAAAAGUCGGCCAUAUUGCAACAUGGAGGCCGCCUGCAUGAGAGGCAGCACAAUCUCAAUGCUGAUACUAAUGAGUCCUGUGUAAACGUAGUCAAUGAUGCUGCUCAGGGUGUUUGAAGUGAUGCCCUUUAUGUUAAUCUUGGACUGCUGCCUCUCUAAGAAGUUAUUGCAGAACAUGGCUUUGAAGUACGGACUGCUGGAGACCAGGACGUUACGAUGACAUGGGAUCUCUGUGUGGUCUGAACACAAGGAUACGUCAGUCAGGAUGUUCUCCUGCCUUAGUCUGUUCAACUGCAGCAGCAGGCUGGACGACUGCUCCUGGUCUUUGUAGUGGAAGACCUUCUCAGCUGGUUGGUCCAUACUGAGGAUGGACACCAUGAUGUUAUCUGUAAAUCAAUUCAUUUCAGGUUUGUUACUAUUAUUAGUUUAAACCCAAACCUCCUCUUUAUCUUGUAUAAGCAGUGGUAGGUUGGUUUCUCAUCUUUUGACCGUCUUUGGGCUCGGUGUGAACCAUGAUUAUCAACCUCUGAAUGGGUGAACAGCAUCUCUAAUAUAACAUGGUAUCUAGUUCAACUUAACUGGAUUGAAUUAAGCUGCUAAAAAAUAAGCAUACUGUAAUAUCUGGUAACUAAUUGGUUCAUAGCAGGAGACACCUUUUUAAUCUAGCUUUUAAACUGGAGUAAUUUUUUUAGCCCUGGACUUCAUUUUUAUUAUUUUAA